UCGGUAAUAACAAUCCACAUCAACAAAUUCAUCGUUUGGUUAUCUUCUACCUUCUUUCUUAUUGGUCAGUUUCUAUACUGCAUGGAUAACAAUUCUUAACCUAACACACAAAUCUCUCUCUCUGUGACGCCUCCUUCUCCUCCAAUCCAUCACGUUUGACCUCCUUACCACCACCACCAUCGCCAUCUCUCCUUCAGCUUGUCACCACCACCACCGCUCAUUCACUCGUCACCACCACCAUCUCCAUCUUUCCCAUCCGCCAUCAUUCGUCACCACCACCAUCGCUUCUCAGAUUCGUCACCACCACCAUCCGCCAUCUCUCUCUCUCUCUCUCUCUCUCUCUCUCUCUCCACUCUCUGUUUCUCUUCUUCUUUUCCACUCUUGUAGUGCUCUCUCCCUCUCUCUUUCUCUCCUUUGAAUCUGAUUUUGAUUUGUUUUUUUGGUAAAGGAAGUUGGAGGAAGCACAAGAGGCCUGACGAGACGAGGUGACUGGAGGUCUCUCUUUUGUUCCAUCACCGAACUUCCGCAGACCAAGGUUGAGGCGGAGAGAACAGAUCCGGAGGCAGGAGGCGAAGAGGAGGUCCGAGAGAAGACAGAGCCAGAGGCUGGAGAAGACAGAACAUCGAGGCGGCUGAAUUUUUUUUUUUUAGGUCUAGUUUUUUUUUUAAUUUGGUUUAGUGUAAACCGAGAUAGGGAAAUGUAGUGGUUUGAUUUUAUUUUUAAUUUCUGGUUUAGUUUUGUAAGCCGGAAUGGAUUCAACAGAGACGACACAGAGGAGUUCAUUGAAACUUGGAUACAUGGACGAGUUAUCACCGGAAUGGUGCAGAAAACCUGUA